rnacentral:rRNA from 1 species
AGUACGGCGAGUGAAGCGGCAAAAGCUCAAAUUUGAAAUCGGCCACCAGGUCGAGUUGUAAUUUGUAGAUUGUAUCUUGAGAGCGGAUUAAAGUCUGUUGGAACACAGCGCCUUAGAGGGUGACAGCCCCGUAAAAUCUAUUCUCAUUGUAAGAUACUUUCGAAGAGUCGAGUUGUUUGGGAAUGCAGCUCUAAGUGGGAGGUAAAUUCCUUCUAAAGCUAAAU